UGGGCAGCAGAAGGCCAGGGAG
rnacentral:misc_RNA from 1 species